UUGAACGCUGGCGGCAUGCUUUACACCUGCAAGUCGAACGGUAACAGGCCUUCGGGUGCUGACGAGUGGCGAACGGGUGAGUAAUGCAUCGGAACGUGCCCAGAGGUGGGGGAUAACGCAGCGAAAGCUGUGCUAAUACCGCAUGUGAUCUGAGGAUGAAAGCGGGGGACCAGGCAGCAAUGUUUGGCCUCGCGCCUUUGGAGCGGCCGAUGUCAGAUUAGGUAGUUGGUGGUGUAAAGGCCUACCAAGCCGACGAUCUGUAGCUGGUCUGAGAGGACGACCAGCCACACUGGGACUGAGACACGGCCCAGACUCCUACGGGAGGCAGCAGUGGGGAAUUUUGGACAAUGGGCGCAAGCCUGAUCCAGCAAUGCCGCGUGCGGGAAGAAGGCCUUCGGGUUGUAAACCGCUUUUGUACGGAACGAAAAGGCUCUGGCUAAUACCUGGGGCUGAUGACGGUACCGUAAGAAUAAGCACCGGCUAACUACGUG
rnacentral:rRNA from 1 species